CGGCGCGUGCCCGUGGCCAUCUGCUAGCAGCACCAGCGCCCAUGAGCGAACCAGUUGCCCCGUUGGAAUCCCACACUGUGGUCAGCCGUUCGCCGCAUCCGGAGGGGGCCUACGGGAUUCCGACCUUCUCCCUCUGCUGUACCGUCUCUCCUGGCUCCCGCUCACCGUCGACAGGCUCCGCGCAGUGACCGCGGCUCCGGCGCAAAGGCUGUUCCGCGCCGUCCAGCACAUUGCCAAGUUAUGAAGAGACUACGGUCCAAAAAAGGAAAUGGAAACCUCACCAACUGAUGUGAUACUUAUUAUUUUGCCUGAUUAGCUGGAGAUCAGCUUUAUGAAUGAAGGGGCUAUUUAUUUCUUCUUUUGGUAAUAAAAUUUGUACUUGAUCAUACAAAUUUAACUCCUCAAUGCAACCAUACUUCUAUGAAAUGCCAAUGAUCUUGUUUGCAUGA